GACGAACGCUGGCGGCGUGCCUAACACAUGCAAGUCGAACGGAGAUACGAUUUCGGUUGUAUCUUAGUGGCGAACGGGUGAGUAACGCGUGAGCAACCUGACUCUUAGAGGGGGAUAACACUCGGAAACGGGUGCUAAUACCGCAUAAGACCACGACAUGGCAUCAUGACGAGGUCAAAGGAGCAAUCCGCUGAGAGAGGGGCUCGCGUCCCAUUAGAUAGAUGGCGGGGUAACGGCCCACCAUGUCAACGAUGGGUAGCCGAGCUGAGAGGCUGAUCGGCCACACUGGAACUGAGACACGGUCCAGACUCCUACGGGAGGCAGCAGUGGGGAAUAUUGGGCAAUGGGCGCAAGCCUGACCCAGCAACGCCGCGUGAGGGAAGAAGGCUUUCGGGUUGUAAACCUCUGUCCUUGGUGAUGAAAAAAAUGACGGUAGCCAAGGAGGAAGCCCCGGCUAACUACGUGCCAGCAGCCGCGGUAAGAGUGUGUGUA
rnacentral:rRNA from 1 species